CGCAGAGGCAUCGGCGGCGGCGGCGGAGACGGAGAGAGGCAGGCAGGCAGGGCGAGGGCGAGAGACGGAGGGAGGGAGCGAGCGAGGCGGACCAGACAGACAGACAGGCGGGCGGGCGGGCAGAGCGAGCCACCCGCCAGGCUGCGCUCAGCCCCGCUCGCAGCGGAGAGAGCAGAAGGCAGGAGGAGGGAGGGGAGGAGGGGGAGGGAGGGAGAGAGGGAAUCCAGCUACCACCACCCAAAGCCAGCGUCUGCUUUCUGUCCUCAUUUCCUUUUCCCACCCAGCUUGGAGAGCAGAGAAAGGCAGAGAGAGCGAGAAAUAGAGACAGUCUGAGAGACAGACAGACAGCCAGAGAGAGCGGGAGGGAGGAGGGCGGAGGAGGAGGAGCAGGAGGACUACGCGGGGCGCGUUCCCUCCCAGGUUUGCAAUUGGGGGGGUGGGGGCGGGGGUGUCCAGGGCUGGGAGAGUGUGUGCGCGGCGGGAGGGCGAGGGGAGCGCAGAGAGCGAAGGAGUGAUCGAGGUGGGGGGGCGCCGCGGGAGCGGGGGGCCGUGUCCAGCGGAGUUAGCGGCGGAGAAUGUGAGCCGAGGCGCGAGCCAUGCUGUCAGCGACGGCGGGCGGCUCAGGGCUCUUCCACGACUCCUCUCCUCAGCAGCCGGGCGCCCGCGUCGCUGCCACCGCCGGAAGACAGACGCCCCCUAAAACCCCUCGCUUGGCUCGGACCCACGGAGCCGGCAGCCCAGCACUCCGAUGGGAGCUUGCCUGAUUGUCAAGCCAUCGGCCUGGACCCCAGAGCCUACCCAGCUGAGCAUGUGCAGAGGGCCCCGAGUGCGGGGCAACGCUCAGGCCAUUACAGAGACCACCCUGGAGAUGCUGAUGAAGACAGGCCUUUCCUGCUGAGCCGGGCCUGUCUGCACAGCCUGCUCAGGCGCUGUCCACGCCCCGAGGCCUGGGCUCAGGCCGAAGUUGCUCCACAGCACCCCCAGCUGACAGCCAGCGACUGGCAGAGCCCCCAGGCACGGGGGCCCUCUCUCUUCCAGGUCAGCCGGGUGUCUGCGCUGGAUGGAGCGCUGAGGGAGCCGGGGGUGGUACCUGGAGGAGGCCGGGCCGGUGGGCAGGGGUUGAGCUGUGGCCACUAGACCAUUUGGGGAAUUCAAAUCUAUUUCCUGUCUUAUUGCCCACAGAGAUCUCCAGUGUGACAGCCCAGGCGGCAGAGCCGAGGGUAAGUGGUGGGGGUUCUCCUGGAGCCCUUUGGGGGUAAGAAGCAGGAAGGCUGUGCCCUUGUUAGAGCUUCCUGGCCUUCUCCUUAAGUUUGAUCACCCUGCUGAUGUGCUUCCCUCUCAGAGGCAGGGGUCCUGUUCUUCCUGAGCACAUAGCCAGAUUUCCAAAGGGGAUGAGCUGUCAAUAAGUGAAGCUGGGCCAGGCAUGGUGGCUCACGCCUGUAAUCCCAGUAAUUUGGGAGGCCAAGGCGAGUGGAUCAUCUGUGGUCAGGAGCUCAAGACCAGCCUGGCCAACAUGGUGAAACCCCGACUCUACUAAAAUACAAAAAUUAGCCAGGCGUGGUGGCGCGUGCCUGUAAUCCCAGGUACUUGGGAGGCUGACACCUAAGAAUCACUUGCACUAGGAGGCAGAGGUUGCAGUGAGCUGAGAUCACACUACUUCACUCUAGCCUGGGUGACAGAGUGAGACUCUCUUUCAAAAAAAAAAAAAAAGUGAAACUGGGGCCCAUGAGGGGCUUGCUGUACAUAUGGUGGUUUGAGAAAGGCUGGGAGUCAGCAAGGGGAUUGGGCUUGGGGUGGGGAUGGGAGCUUGGUAAGGAGAUGAGACCUCAGGAGGGAGGGGUCCAGGAGCUCAUCGAGGAUAUGGGAAGCUGAUGAGGAUGUAGGUGUUCAGUAAGGGACCUCCUGCUCUUCCUGCCUGGCAGGUCCUGGUCCCGGCUUCUCGCACCCUCAUGUCAGCCCCGGCCCCGCCCGGCGGCCUGCGGAGGACAAGGUCAGGAUGCGUGUGAAGCCCCAGGGCCUGGUGGUGACUUCCAGUGCCGUGUGCAGCUCUCCUGACUACCUCCGGGAGCCCAAGUACUACCCCGGCG
rnacentral:lncRNA from 1 species